CAGCGAAACUGCGAAUGGCUCAUUAUAUAAGUUAUCGUUUAUUUGAUAGUACCUUACUACUUGGAUAACCGUGGUAAUUCUAGAGCUAAUACAUGCUAAAAAUCCCGACUUCGGAAGGGAUGUAUUUAUUAGAUUAAAAACCAAUGCCCUCUGGGCUCCUUGGUGAUUCAUAAUAACUUUUCGAAUCGCAUGGCCUUGCGCCGGCGAUGGUUCAUUCAAAUUUCUUCCCUAUCAACUUUCGAUGUUUGGGUAUUGGCCAAACAUGGUCGCAACGGGUAACGGAGGGUUAGGGCUCGACCCCGGAGAAGGAGCCUGAGAAACGGCUACUACAUCCAAGGAAGGCAGCAGGCGCGCAAAUUACCCAAUCCCGAUUCGGGGAGGUAGUGACAAUAAAUACUGAUACAGGGCUCUUUUGGGUCUUGUAAUUGGAAUGAGUACAAUUUAAAUCUCUUAACGAGGAACAAUUGGAGGGCAAGUCUGGUGCCAGCAGCCGCGGUAAUUCCAGCUCCAAUAGCGUAUAUUAAAGUUGUUGUGGUUAAAAAGCUCGUAGUUGAACCUUGGGCCUGGCUGGCCGGUCCGCCUCACCGCGUGUACUGGUCCGGCCGGGCCUUUCCCUCUGUGGAACCUCAUGCCCUUCACUGGGUGUGGCGGGGAAACAGGACUUUUACUUUGAAAAAAUUAGAGUGCUCCAGGCAGGCCUAUGCUCGAAUACAUUAGCAUGGAAUAAUAAAAUAGGACGUGUGGUUCUAUUUUGUUGGUUUCUAGGACCGCCGUAAUGAUUAAUAGGGACAGUCGGGGGCAUCAGUAUUCAAUUGUCAGAGGUGAAAUUCUUGGAUUUAUUGAAGACUAACUACUGCGAAAGCAUUUGCCAAGGAUGUUUUCAUUAAUCAGGAACGAAAGUUAGGGGAUCGAAGACGAUCAGAUACCGUCGUAGUCUUAACCAUAAACUAUGCCGACUAGGGAUCGGACGAUGUUAUUUUUUGACGCGUUCGGCACCUUACGAGAAAUCAAAGUG
rnacentral:rRNA from 5 species